rnacentral:lncRNA from 1 species
GAGAAAGUAUUAUCUGAUUUGAUUUGAUUCGAUAUUUUAUAUAUUCGAAAGAUCAAAGAUUUGUUGUAUUUGAAAUUAUAUGUUUUGAAUUGAUUUGGGAGGCUCGUAUUAGAAAACAGUAGUUAACAGCGGUUAUGACGUUAAUCUAGAUGCAUCUGGCUCAGACCUCAGCUAGUAGGAGCGUUGUUAGCCUAACGUGUAGGCCACACGUUGGAUCUGUUAUUCCGUACGGACACACUAGAGAAAAGGGCUACCCAUAGAGGUGGAGCCGCCCAAGUGUGGACUUUUGAUUUGAUUUCUCUAUGAGAACUCCCUUAUUGAUUCACUUAUUAUCAACUAUUAUUUUCUAAUUAAAAUUAUUUUGAUGAUAAUGUUUGUAUAGUCUCAUGUCGAUUAUAGAUGUAUUGUCUAGUCACUGAAUUGUAAUACUCACUCCUUUUUUGUUUAAAAAAAAUAUUUUUUCAGGAAUAAGUACUUGAUUAUGUGAGCCUUUCUAUUCAAGAGUAAUGAUCUGCAAUGGGCUCUAUUCCUUGUUGAGUUCUUAGACGUCAUCUGCUCCAUAUGUCACAGGCAGGAUCCAUCUAUAUUUAUUUAUUUUAUUUUUGUUAAAGUAUGUAAUUAUUCAUUCUAAAAAGUGUAAAUUUAUCAAAAAUUAUUUGUAACCUUUUUAUUUAUCUUAUAUUUGAAUCUGUUAGGCUUGCUAGGGAACUCUUUUUCCUGAGCGCCAGUCAUGGCUCAUUUUGGGUUGUGACAGAGUGGUAUCAGAGCUUAGGUUUAAUCUGUGUAAUAUGGAGCAAGUGUCUUAUGGUAGGAUCACAAUUGUAUAAAUAGAAGCGCGCCUAUUUGUACAAAUUGUGGCACUAUUAGAGGCCUAUAGGAAUGUCAUCCUUCUCUUUUUGUCAUUCUUGUCUUUUGGUUCUUGUCAUCAUGAGUCAUCUGUCGAUUCUUGCCACCUCUUUUCUCUUUGUAUCCAUCCUUGAGUUAUUAUUUGGUAACUUUUCUUGAACUUACUUUUGCAAUUGUUUCAAAUUGAAGUGUUUGAAUGUAUUGUAUUAUCAAAUGUACAGGGAAUCAGCCUCUUUAUAGAGGAAUUACAGAAAUAGAAAUAACUAGAAAAUAGAAAAGAAAGGAAAAAUACUAGCCUAAAAUAAAGGAAAGAUUUCUAAUCAUAAAAUCCCUAAAAUUAAGCUAAACCCAAAAAGGAAAAGAUUUAUAAUUAAUUCUAUUUACAUAAAAGAUUCAGGAAAGGAAUUAGGAAUCUGAUUUUGAUUUGAUUUAGU